rnacentral:rRNA from 1 species
UACAGAGACUGCAAGCGUUAUUCGGAUUCACUGGGCGUAAAGGGUGCGCAGGCGGCCGUAUGUGUCAGGUGUGAAAGCCCGGAGCUUAACUCCGGAAUUGCGCCUGAAACUACAUGGCUAGAGCAUUGGAGAGGGUAGCGGAAUUCACGGUGUAGCAGUGAAAUGCGUAGAUAUCGUGAGGAACACCAGAGGCGAAGGCGGCUACCUGGACAAUUGCUGACGCUCAGGCACGAAAGCGUGGGGAGCAAAAGGG